AUGGAUCCCAAAGCUGCCGGGGAAGCGCCCCGUGAAGCCGCAGGAGUCCUGGCACAGGCCUGAGCCGCCCCAGCCCGGCGCGGCCUUCCCCCUCAGCUCCCGCCCGAGCCCUUCGGGCCGAAAGGGCUCCUGAGGGGACAGCCCAGGGUGGGAACCCGAGCACGGGAGAGCUCCAGCGCCGCUCUAGCAGAGACAGCCACAUCAAGAGUUAACCCGAAAGUGAAACUGAACGAGCGGUUUCAGAAAAUUCUGGAAUAUCACCAUCCACCCCUCCCCUCCCUGUCGGGAUAUAUUCGGCCGUUUCCCUUCCUCCCUCCGAGCACAACAGACACAACAGAGGCUGGUGGCGAGGGGAGCCGCGGUCCCACGGGACUGGGAUUAGAGCAGACUCAUCGCAGCUCUAGCUCUGCACAGCCGAUCAUGCUUCCAGUUCCAGUCAUCCUUGAAAUUAUAAAGGUGGUUGGAUUCAUUGCAGUUAUCUCAGGAAUUACAGUUAUAGGUGAGAGUCUGGCACAGGA